rnacentral:lncRNA from 1 species
AGGUAUUGUCUUUGUAAAUGCAUUUUCGGAACUGGAACUACAGCCCCUCCGGCAGGAAUUUAACUCGCAGGGCCGCUGCAUGUCUAUAGCAAAAGUUACAGUAUAUAAAUUUUCGUUCAAAAAUUCCAUUUACAAAUAUUCCAUCUAUAUACAGCUAUUUCAAUUAAGGUUGUCCCCGAACAAAGCGGAAAUGUCGAAUAUGAGCGCGAAAAGCUUGCUGGAAAUCGCUAAAAAAUCAUUUAUUAUGUACUGUUUAAUAAACGCGUAUGAGUGUUUUAUCAUAUUUACAAUGCGAGUGCGCAGCACGAGCAUUUUAGUAAUGAUAAAACACAAUUAUACAAGUAUUUUGAAUAGCUUCAACCACGCGUACGACUACAAUAGAUGCAGUCUCAUUAGUAUUCUUUAUAUAAAGAAUAUUUAUUAGGACAUGGACUUUUAUAUAAAGAAUACUAAUGAAGAUGAGUUUUAUCAGGUAUAUAAGCCUCUUCACAUGACAAAUUAUAGUUGACAUGAUUUCCCAAUAAGCUUAAUAUGAAUUAUUAAUAAUAAGUGUUUGAAAUUUAUUUCAUUAAUUAAUAUACGUCAAUAUUUACUUAGUCUCAUUGACAUGCAAACUAAAAUAUAUUAUCCCCAUGCAAUAAUUAAUGUUAACAUUAUUGUCAUGCAUGCACUAUUUGUACAAAAUGGUCCAGCCAUUUUCUAAUACACACAAAAUAAGUGUGCGGUUAAAUAAAGUUGCAGGUAAUAAAAAUUAAAGCCCUGUUAAUUAUGCAACGAUAUUUCAUUUUCUUUCUGUAUGUAAGACGAAGAUAUACAUGCAGAAGAGGUCAAAAACAUUUCUUGUGAAACUUACUAUCUGUUAGUUUGUUUCUUUCUUCACAUACUGAACGUAUGAGAACUAAUAUUCCUAAAUCACUAAAUGAUUCAUGAGCUGCAUGGCGCAACGUAAAUUGCACCUUAUUGUUGUUUUGAUGCGGUAAAUUGCAAUAAUAGUCCGUGUGUUGUGACCUCGAAAAGUGCCUAGAAAACGAUUUUCAUUAAGCAUGUCUUAGAUCUGAAAUAUUUUUACGGGAACUAACACUUUCGAACACGCUGAGUUCAAAUCCGAAAAGUUCCCACUCCGUAGACCCGCAGUUUUUUCACAAAAUGCUAUUUUAUCUUCACUAAUUUCACAACAAAUUUUUCAUUGUUCAACAUCACGGAUCGAUGACGAUACACGAUUAUGUCACUCAAAAGGACCAAUUUC